UACGUAGGGUGCAAGCGUUAAUCGGAAUUACUGGGCGUAAAGCGUGCGCAGGCGGUUUUGUAAGUCUGUCGUGAAAUCCCCGGGCUUAACCUGGGAAUGGCGAUGGAGACUGCAAGGCUAGAAUCUGGCAGAGGGGGGUAGAAUUCCACGUGUAGCAGUGAAAUGCGUAGAGAUGUGGAGGAAUACCGAUGGCGAAGGCAGCCCCCUGGGAUAACACUGACGCUCAUGCACGAAAGCGUGGGGAGCAAACAGG
rnacentral:rRNA from 1 species